rnacentral:rRNA from 1 species
CCUACGGGAGGCAGCAGUGGGGAAUAUUGGGCAAUGGAGGAAACUCUGACCCAGCGACGCCGCGUGCGGGAUGAAGGCCUUCGGGUUGUAAACCGCUUUCAGUAGGGAAGAAGCGAAAGUGACGGUACCUACAGAAGAAGCACCGGCUAACUAUGUGCCAGCAGCCGCGGUAAUACAUAGGGUGCAAGCGUUGUCCGGAAUUAUUGGGCGUAAAGAGCUCGUAGGUGGUUCGUCACGUCGGAUGUGAAAAUCUGGGGCUCAACCCCAGACCUGCAUUCGAUACGGGCGAUCUAGAGUGUGGUAGGGGAGACUGGAAUUCCUGGUGUAGCGGUGGAAUGCGCAGAUAUCAGGAGGAACACCAAUGGCGAAGGCAGGUCUCUGGGCCAUUACUGACACUGAGGAGCGAAAGCGUGGGGAGCGAACAGGAUUAGAUACCCUGGUAGUCCACGCCGUAAACGGUGGGCACUAGUUGUGGGAACCUUCCACGGUUUCUGCGACGCAGCUAACGCAUUAAGUGCCCCGCCUGGGGAGUACGAGUCGCAAGAUUAAACUUAAUAAGUAAUUGACG